rnacentral:lncRNA from 1 species
CUUUGCCCCACACCAGGAGCCUCCCAUGGGGGCAUCAGAAUAGAGGUCAUAAGGCCUGCUGAUCUUGGGCACCAGGCUGCGAGGGUGAGUGUUCUAGUCUUGGUGGAGUUUCCAUGCAUUUGUGCUGUUUGUGUCCAGACGCCACUCAGGAGUCACUCUGGGAGGAGAGUCUCUUCUCUACCCUCCCCAUAGAUGGGGGAACCGAGGCGAGCAGAGGAUUAAUCCCUUGUCCCAGGUCACCCAGCUGCACUCACGAAGGAUCUGCAGCACGUUCUGGGGCCACGCCCAGUGCCAGUAGCAGCAGCACCCAGCAAGCUGGCCCUAGGAGGGCACGGGAUGGUGGCUUCUGACCUCGACCCUGCCCUGCGUUCAAGGUCCCGCCGGGCCCCGCCCUUGUAGCCUGUCCCGCCCCUCUAAGCCCCGGCCCCGCCCAUUGCACCCGAAGUUCUCGGAUUCCUGCAGACCUGGAUGCGGCGGCGUCGGGAGACCCCAGAGCUGCGGUGCGAGGCCCACCCGGUGCGUGCCCUCUUCAGUGAAGGUGCUGGCUCAGGCCAGGCCCACAGUACCCUUCAUGGCCCCAAAGGCCCUCUGCUGC